GAAACUAAAUUUCUGCACUCUCUUUGUUCAUUUUCCACCAAAACCUCAUCAUACUUAACAGUAAAUGCAAAUUCCUUUUGCGCAGUCUUCUCGAUUUGUUAUUGCCUAAUUUUUCAGUCUUGUUGUGGAUAAGCUAUUUCUUCUAGUAGCCUAAUUAUUUUUUUAAGCACAAAGGCUGUAAUUGAUUUGAUAGAUUUCGACUCCCAAGUUUUAUCUUACAACUAAGUUAUUAUAAUUUUUUAUGUUAAUAAAUUAUAAUUGACUAUGUUGUUGUAUUUCUUGCAGGAUAACUUAUCAGUUAGCAUGUCCAUUCAAAGGCAGUUGCCAGGAAAUUCUUUUACAACUCCAGUUGCAGAGCCCAAGAAUGAUCGAGCGAGUUCUUCUAGGGCUUCCGGAGAAAUUGGAUUAUGGAAGGGCCAUGAGGUUAACUCGGAGUUUUUGAGCCUACUUGAUUGCAUAGAGAAGAAGUAUCCAGAAACCUUUGACCACUUCACCACCAAUAGCAAAAAGUUGUGUACAAUGAAGCUGAACAUGUUUUGUACCAUAGUCAAAGACUAUACCAGAACGUCGAUGACUGAGGUUGAUACUGAAAUGAUUGCGGAGUAUAGGGUUCAGUUUGCUGACUUGCAAAGAUCAUUCAAUGUAAAAUGGCUGGUCAACCAUCUGAAUUGCGUUGAACAAUUCCAGAUAACACACCUCCUACCAGACAAGCUUGAUGCAGUUGACUCUUGGAUUGCUGAUGGCACUCCUGAUGCUGGCUACAUCGGAGAUGAUCUAUUUCGUGGUCCUUGAUAUGUUGUUGUAUUACUUCAUUUUGUUAGUGUUUUUGCUUGUGUCUUUCCUGACUGUUAGACUUAUAUCUGGUAACUGAUUGGAUAAGGUGGUUUCUUUUGAAUCCUUCCUGACUAUGAAACUGGGAUAUGUUUUGGAUUUGAUUGGCUGAGAUAUUUUCUUUAUAAAAUUAAUUUCUGCUGAACUGCAGUGGGAGACUAGUUGCAUAGUUGUAGGUACCUGUACUUAAUUGGAAUAUAUUUUUUGAGCCAAAUUGCUUUGGUUCAAAAACUAUAUUCAACCCUCUGAUAUCACACUACUGAUAUCAGACUACUGAUUUCACACCUUUCCUGAAAAGUGGUAAUAUUUCUUUUCAACCCUCUGGUAAAAUUUUGAGCUUACUGUCUUUGCUAUGCAUGCUGUACUAAAAUUGAUGGAUGCGCGGCCACGCUCUGUGAUACAUUAAAGUGUGGCGCAUUGCUAAUAUGGACAUCUAUUAUUUCUUUCUUGUCUCUUAAUCACUAAGUGUGUAAGAUUUAAGAAAAAUCAUAGCGCGCAAGGCUUUAGUAAUGUGAUGCUGUGUGCUUUAUAUAGGGAGUUCAAGCAACAGGAAGGCAAUUUUAAUUGGCAGCAUUGUGGGGAUAGCAGGGCUUAUAUUGAUUAUGACAAUAUAUAUAUAUAUAUUUAUGGUACAAAGUUUUAGGGAAACGAAUCGCAGCACCAAGAGGUGACAUAUUGGGAGCAACUGAAUUGCAAAGCCCUACAAAAUACAGUUAUAAUGACUCGAAAUUAGCUACAAAAAAUUUCAGCAUAGUAAACAAACUUGGAAAAGGUGGUUAUGGAGAUGUAUACAAGGGAACUUUAAAGAAUGGGGAUAUUGUUGCAGUGAAAAGAAUAGCAUUAGACGCCAG